rnacentral:lncRNA from 1 species
UAUUACAAUGGGGUAAGAAUGUGGAGGAGGAGGAGAAACAAGAAUUGGGUUUCUGAGGCCUAGUUAACGUUGUCAUACUCACCAUAUUCAUGUUCACGUUGAGGGGGUUUGUGGAGAAAGUAUGAGACAUAAUGUUCCUGUUCGUGUGUUUUUAAGGUCAGUUAAGAAUUUAGGAUUUGACAGUAGGAAAGGACAAGGCUUUAAAUAUAGAAGACUGACAGACAUGGAACAGUGAAGAAAGCAGAUUGGUAGGAGGGAUCUAUCCUGUAAUCAUUCGUGUGUGUGUGUG